UACGGAGGGUGCAAGCGUUAAUCGGAAUUACUGGGCGUAAAGCGCGCGCAGGCGGUCCGGUAAGUCUCCGGUGAAAUCGCCCGGCUCAACUGGGCGGGUGCCGGGGAGACUGGCGGACUUGAGGAGCCUAGAGGCCGGUGGAACUCCCGGUGUAGUGGUGAAAUGCGUAGAGAUCGGGAAGAACACCAGUGGCGAAGGCGGCCGGCUGGGGGUGUCCUGACGCUGAGGCGCGAGAGCGUGGGGAGCAAACCGG
rnacentral:rRNA from 1 species